ACCUUCCGCAGUGCCGGGUGUCUUAAAAGGCAAAGGCGAAAGGGCAAAGGGGCAGCAGACACUUGGCGCUUCCACCAGAUCCCUAACAAGCAGGAGGAGCCGCAGCCACCAGGAGCCACCAACAUUUUCCCAAAAAUUCCCAAAGUAGUAACAAAGGUUUCACAGAAAAAUGGGGACCAAUAUGAACUUCAAGGGAUUUGGGAACGAGCCGCCGUUAGCGAGGCAGUCGUCGAUCUAUUCGCUGACGUUUGAGGAGUUGCAGAACACCAUUGGAGGCCCAGGGAAGGAUUUUGGGUCUAUGAACAUGGAUGAGCUUCUGAAGAGCAUAUGGACUGCUGAAGAGACUCAGAUUAUGGCGCCGGCUGGCGGAGCCGCUGGUGGCCAAGAGGGGCUUGGCCACGGCGGUGGUGGGUCACUGCAGAGGCAGGGCUCUCUGACCCUGCCCCGGACCCUAAGCCAGAAAACUGUGGAUGAAGUGUGGAAGAACCUUUCAAAAGAAGGAACGGGUGCCGGCGGGUUUAAUAUGCCUCAGAGGCAGCAGACUUUGGGGGAGAUGACUUUGGAGGAGUUUUUGGUAAGAGCUGGGGUUGUGAGAGAAGAUGCACAAAUGGCUCCAAAGCCUAAUGGUGCUAGUUUUUAUGGUGAUUUGUCUCGUUUUGGUAAUUCUGGUAGUUUGGGAUUCGAGUUUCAGCAACUGAAUCGCGGGAUUGGCGUGAUGGGGAAUCGAGUUCCCGAGAACAAUAAUAAUCUGGUUCCGAAUCAGGGUUCAAAUUUGCCAUUGAAUGCUAAUGGGGUUAGAUCAAAUCAGCAUCAGCAACAGCAACAGAUGCCACAGCAGCAGCAGCAGCACCAAAUAUUUCCCAAGCAGCAGCCUGUGACUUUCAACACUUCUCAGUUGCCUAUUGGGCCAAAUACUCAGUUGGGUAGUCCUGGAAUGAGGGGUGGGAUGAUGGGAAUCGGUGAUCAGGGUAUGAAUGGCACUUUGGCUCCGAGUUCAGGGAUGGGAAUGGUUGGAUUAGGAGCUGCAGGAGCUAUUCGUGUGGCGACGCCUUCACCUGCGAACCAGUUGUCAUCUGAUGGGGUUGGGAAGAGUAAUGGUACUGAUACGUCAUCCGUGUCACCCGUGCCUUAUGUGUUUAAUGGCGGUUUUAGGGGUAGGAAAGGCGGCGGGCCUGUGGAGAAGGUUGUUGAGAGAAGGCAGAGGAGAAUGAUUAAGAACAGAGAAUCAGCUGCCAGGUCCAGAGCUCGCAAGCAGAUUCAUGCGGGAGAAUGGUAAAUGUUGAUAGCGAUUCGACGUGUCAAAGAGAUGAAAGAUUUUGAGAAGUUACAGUCAUGACAAGUUUUAAGGAUCCAGUUUAUUACAAGGCUUACACAAUGGAAUUGGAAGCAGAAGUUGCAAAACUGAAGGAGGAGAACCAAGAGCUGCAGAACAAACAGGCUCAAAUGGCGGAAGUGCAGAAGAAUCAGGACAUGGAGAUUUUAAACCUUCAACGCGGGAAGAAGCGAUGCUUGAGAAGAACGAUGACGGGUCCGUGGUGAAGGGCCGGGAGGGAAGAGGAAUGUGAUUAGAAGGGGUGCUGUAAAUAUUCCAAGGGGACAUUCGUCUUGUGGUGUAGAUUUUUUGAGAGUUUAGCGUGUGCUGUAGAUUUGAGCAUCAUAACAUUUGUGGGAUCCUUGGUUUCUGUUACCUUUUUCCUAUGUUAAUGUUUCAAAUAUUUAUGUACACGAAAGAAGUGAGACAAUUAAAACAAUAAGGAAACCGUUAAUGAACGAA